rnacentral:lncRNA from 1 species
UUUUCCAGGGUUCAGGUAGACUAAUUGAUUUGAAGCAAGACCAAAACUUACAACUUGACAUAAUGUCAACACAGAGCGUACAAAGUGAAACAACAUGGCCAUUUUAUGUAUUCUUAGCUGGUUCAAUGUUUUGUCUUCUCUCAAGCAGCAUUUGUCAUCUUUUCUCUUGUCAUUCCCACAAGUUAAACAUCCUCUUGCUUAGAAUGGACUAUGUUGGAAUCACAGUCAUGAUAAUAACAUCAUUCUUUCCACCAAUUUACUACAUAUUCCAAUGUUCACAACAUUGGCAAAUUGUAUACCUAAGUGGUAUCACAAUUAUGGGAAUUUGCACUAUCAUCACUCUACUUUCCCCCGUGUUUUCGACUCAUAAGUAUCGAUCAUUUCGAGCUGUGUUGUUCAUGUCUAUGGGAUUCUUUGGUCUGAUACCUGCAAUCCACGCGGUAAUAUUGAACUGGGAUGAGCCUGAGAGGAAUGUCACACUAGCGUAUGAGUCCGCCAUGGCAUUAUCUUAUCUAAUUGGGACUAUGUUUUAUGUUACUCGAAUCCCUGAGAGAUGGAGGCCUGGAUUUUUUGACCUAGCUGGUCANNNNNNNNNNNNNNNNNNNNNNNNNNNNNNNNNNNNNNNNNNNNNNNNNNNNNNNNNNNNNNNNNNNNNNNNNNNNNNNNNNNNNNNNNNNNNNNNNNNNNNNNNNNNNNNNNNNNNNNNNNNNNNNNNNNNNNNNNNNNNNNNNNNNNNNNNNNNNNNNNNNNNNNNNNNNNNNNNNNNNNNNNNNNNNNNNNNNNNNNNNNNNNNNNNNNNNNNNNNNNNNNNNNNNNNNNNNNNNNNNNNNNNNNNNNNNNNNNNNNNNNNNNNNNNNNNNNNNNNNNNNNNNNNNNNNNNNNNNNNNNNNNNNNNNNNNNNNNNNNNNNNNNNNNNNNNNNNNNNNNNNNNNNNNNNNNNNNNNNNNNNNNNNNNNNNNNNNNNNNNNNNNNNNNNNNNNNNNNNNNNNNNNNNNNNNNUUUUUAGAUAUACAGUAAAGUGGAAUUUUUUUCUAUAUAUACUAUAUUACAAACUAUUUUACCCGGAUUAACUGAAGUUUCCUAAUUAUCAAAAUUAACUGAUUUUUUUUUACAAUUCAUAUACAUUCCAUUUUAAAAGACUCACAAUAGCUAAAUAUUACCUUAAUUACCAUCGUGAUUAACGCAAAUCAUUGCGGAUUUCAGUUAUAAAAAGAUUCUAUAGAAUUGCGUUUAUCUAUCUAAGUGGAUAAUAAUUAUUUAAACGGUAAAUGGUCAAAUAUAUCCAUGUACUAUUAAAAAUUAUUUAAAUAUAUCAUCCGUUUCACUAUUGGUCCAAUUAACACCUUACCGUUAUACUAUGAAAUAUAUUUACCCUUAAUUUAGGCGGAGCCCCACGUGACAGCUCGGAAACGAAUGCCCCACCCCAAUUUUAAAUACCCGAUUUAGAUUAAAAUUCACCCUUUUUUAACCCAAUACCCGACCCAUUACCCUCCAAAUCUCUUUAUUUUUUUAUUAUUAUUCAUUUUCUUUUCAACCUUCUCUUUCUUCGUCAUCAAAACACCCUACCACCUUUAUCACCCACAUAAAGGUUUGGGUCCGAGAUCAGGGAUCGCGGCCCACGAAACCAGCUCACUAGGCCCGUUUAGGGCAUGACCCGACCCACUUGCCACCCCUACCCACAUUCAACCCAAAAAUCAGAAAACCAAAAAGCAGCCAUCUUCGGAAAUUGGGUUCAUCAAUUUUUUUUAGUUAAACUUAAGUUACAAUAUUAUGAAAAAAAAGAAGGAAAAAAAGCUUCCAACAAUUUGACGAACACAAGAAGAAAUAGCUGAAAUAAAUUGACAUAGAGUAGUGAACAAGGUGGAGUUUUCAUUAAAAAGGACAAGGAACCGAGAAAAACCCAUUUCCUACUACUAAUAUCUUCAUUUCCUAUUAAGAUCUUAUACUCCAUUUCCUACUAAUACAAUUUGAAUAUCUGAUUAUCAUCUGUUCCUCUUCUCCAUUUCUCAAAUCAUCAAAUAUCUCCAUGUUCAUUUAGCUAAGAAGAACUCAUUUCAUGACUUCAAGAACCAUUAAAGAACAGAGAAAUGAAGAUGAUGAGUAAUAAGAGUAUUCAUCUCAGUUUUCUUCGCAUCUCUGUUCUACUAUGCAAUGAAAUUUAAUAGAUCCAUGAAAAAUAUAACAAAAACAAAACAAGUUAUCAAUUCAAAAUAGAGAAGUUAAUCCUAAAACUUUUGCUGAAGAAAAUUUCAGAUUUGAAAACUUAAAUCUUAAGAAAGAAGUUGAGAAACAUCUAUAUAGUAAAGUAAUAAAGUUUCAUUAUAAUUAAGUAAAGUGACAAGUUAUUAAUUAACAAGUCACUUGGCAAACUUAAGGAGAGUUUGUGGGGAGAUAGUCAAAUAAGAAAAUAUAGGUUGAAUAAUAUAUGAAAUCUUAUUUACUAUAAUUAAAUUUUUACUUGGCAAUCUUAGGAGAAUUUGUGGGGAGAUUAUCAAAUAUGUUAAGAACUAUAUAUGGAAACUCAUUUAAUGUAACUAAAUUUUAAAUUAUUUAAAUUCCGUUUUGACUUGAAAAUAUUCAAUUCACUUUUGUUAUGGAACUUUAAUCUAUGUUAGAAUUAUCUUUUUUCCGAAAACACUUCAAUCAAAAAAAGAAUCUCUGAAAACAUUCAAAAGAAAUACUUACUUAGAAAAUAAAAUCUUCCGGAUAAAAAAUAAUUUGUAAAACUUUGCAGAACUCCAACUCGAAAGUCUAAGCGAAUAACAUAUAUUUGUCUCUAUAUACUAUUUCACAUAUGGCCAAAAAAAAAAAUUACAUAUAAUCAUGCAACUCUUUCACAUCUAAAAUUCUAUAAUUAUAGUUUUUUAAAACAUUAUAUCGAGAUUUAAAUAAAGUGAAUUUGUUUUAAAAUAAAUAUAAUAUAUAGGGUACACGCCUAUGUUUAUCCGGACAACAUAAAAGAAUUUAAAAAUCAAAUAAAAAUUUAUUUACAUAUAUAAUGAAGUAAACCUACAUGCUGGAGAAAGAAACAUCACAAAAAUCAGUUAAUAUACAAAAAAGUUUGUUUUUUCUUCUUUUUAAAGAAUGUUUAUUUUAAGAUUCAAUUUGUAUAAAUGAAUAUCAAACAAAUAAUAAACUUUAAUUAUAUGAAGGGUAUAUCAAAAUAGUAUCUAUCUUCCUAUUCAAAACUUUAGCUAUACAAUUGCUAUCAGUAAUUUCAAUUUAGCAUUUUUUAGGAAUUGAAGAGUAUAAGCGGAAAUCACUUCAUUUCAUUGUAGUCAAGCCAACGUUACACAUGAUACUUAUCCUAAAAUACUUGCAUUGCUCUAUUGUUGUUACGAUUUUCAUUUACCCUUUUGUCAACUUCAUUAGUAAAGUAUACUUGAUGUCAAUUGUCAUAGUUACUUUCGCCUUUCUCCAUGCGACUCAAUACAAUUUGGAUAAUAAUCGAAUAAUUAGUGAUAAUAGAAUAAUUUUUUUAUUUUUAGGAUUGCUUCAACGUUUGAGUAAAUAUUACUGUUGAUGACUAAAUUUUCCUGUAUGACGGUUGUAAAUAAAUUGAGCAUAAUCAUGUAAAAUAUGAGACUUCCUUAUAACAAAAUCUCUUUUUCCUGUAUUCAACUUGAUGCAUCUUUCAUGAAUCACUAUAAUAAGAAAAAGCUAUUUAGCAAUUUUAAAGACAAUAUUUAUUAUCUAUAUUUAUAUAUCUUUCUACAUCUAUUUAAAAUUAAUAAAUAAAUUUAGGAUAAAGAUCGUAAGUAUUAGGACAAACAUGAUAAGAAUUAGGACAAGAUCAGGUGAAUACAACUUUUUAUUUUUAUUCUUAUUAUUUAAAUGUAUAGAUAUAUACAAAUUAAUUUACUUAAUAUUUUAGUAAAUGAAUAAUAUUUUUAUUGAAAUAUUAGUAUUCAAUGUAUAUUUAAGUAACCUUUUAUCCAAAUUCACUGCAGCAAAAAAAAGAAGCUUAUAUUACCAAAUAAAUACUUUGAGUAUAAUUAAUAUAGUUGUGGCAUGAUUUAAAUAUCAUUUCUUAGUGGCGGACAAAGUGGAACUAAUAAGUUUUAUAAUUAUUAUUAAAAUUAAAAUGAAAGAAAAAGUAUCCUUUAUUUUUUUCAUUAUGAAAAGAUAUCAAGUCAAUGGACAUAGAAAAAAUUAAAUUGAAACAUAAAGUUACAGGCAAAUUGGAUAAAUUGAGAGAAAAAAAGGUUGAUGAUGGUUAUACGAAGUCAAAAGAGAAAUGAUGAUGAUAAAUAUAUUAUAAAAAUAUAAAAAAAUUAUAAGUAAAACCAAAGGUAAAUGUUUUUCUGCCUCUUAUGCCUAGAUACCCUAUUCCUUUCUUUGAUGAGUUUAUUUAAUAGACUAACUUUUUUUAGAUGAUAUAUAUAUAUAUAUAUAUAUAUAUAUAAAGGUUUCUAGCAAUAUUCAUUGAUAGGCCAAAGAACUCGAUGAGUGGACCAAUGGACAUUAAUCCUCUAUAUGCAAUUUAUUAUAAGAAUAUAUCAUACAAGAAUUUAAUUGUACAAAAAAAGACAAAUAUGAAUUUGAAUUUCUUUCAUAUCAACGUCUUAGGUUUUGUAAUUAGCGAAUAUUUUCUAUUUUAAUUAUGCAUUAAUUAGUUAUUUAUUUUUUCUACUUUAGGAGAUUAUUUAUUUCUAUUUGUCGAUAGAUACUAACACAAAUUAUAAUAAGAUUAAAAAAUAUACAAUUUAGCGCGCUAAGAAAGCUGAUAUUUCUUUAUUUUUUUGGGUUUAAAAAAAUACAAAAAACUUAAAGAUAUCGCAAACCUGACCAAGUAGGUAAAAUUCACAUUAGCAUAAAGAAAUCUAAAAUAUAUAUUUAUUAUCAUCUUACUCUUCCUAUCUAGAAAAAUGAUCUUGGAUUUGUUUUCUGUAGAUUCAGUUUUUUAGAAAGGCAUGUGGACUUAAAUUAAUUAAAGAUAUAAAAUCAUAUUAAGGCCAGUAUAAAUUACUAAUAAUUUUUUUUUUUAAAUUCGAUGGCAUUUGUUUAGCUAAUAUAUAAGAAUGUCAACUAAAUUUAAAGCCUUUUAGUUGAUAAUUAGCUAAUUUCAAGAGGAAGUAUAAUAAAAGGUCAUGUGGCAAAAAUAUUAAACAAUGAAUAAUACAAUAACAAUAUGCAAGGAACAAAAUGAGAAAAAAAAAGUGCAAAAUAAUAGAAAAAUAGACCCAUUUAAAAUUAAAUCGAUUUUUUUUUAUUAGAAUGAGAAAGGUCAUACAAUGCAUAAUAACACACAACUAAAAUCUUAAAAGAUAAUAUCUGAAAUUAUUAAGUAAUGAAAGAAUUGUUAAUAAUAGAAUUAAAAAAAAUUAAGUUAAAUUUUUUAUACAAAAUAAAUCUCAAAGUUUAGGGAUAAAUAAAAGAAAAUUUUAAUACCUUAUUGCAUUAUUAUUAAAAAAAAAUUGAUAGAUUUGUAUGUGGUAGAUUUGAAUAUCCUGCAAAAAUAUUUCAUAUCAUACGAAAGUAUGCUUUCCUGCAAAGACCCAUGUUAAGAGACAUAGAUUGGAGAAUAAAUCCUAUGUAUAGAUAUUGAUGAUGAUUUCAACGCAUAAUUUCAGACAAUGGUUAAAAGGAGAAAAACUAAAAACUAAAUAUUUUAAAACUAAAGAAUGAAUAUUAUUAAUUUUUAAGGAAAGUGCAUGGUCCGCUAUAUGAAGAAGAAAUAUUCCUGAUUUUUUUUUCUAUUUUUAUUUAUGUCCUGCCUGUAUCAGAUUUUUUAUGCUUUAUUUUUAUAACAGUAUUGAUUUGCUUAAUUUAAGCCAUAUUCAAAGUACUGUUACGAUACAUGUUUGUGGUAAUUUAUCCUGUGUAGUUGAAGUGCCAAGUGAAAAAUAUAGUUUCAUAAUCAAGAUUUCCUUUUGAUGAGUUUAUAAUUUCAUUCAUGUCCGUGUGUUUACUAAUCUCGAGCUUGACAUAUCUUUUUGAUUUAUUUAUUUAUAUUUUUUUAUCUGUUAUAUGGCAAUACUAGAUUUUGAUUUGUAUUUAUUAUAGUUUUGUAAAUGACAAUAUACACACACAUAUAUAUAUUAGAAACGUUUCGAAAAUACAGAAAAAAUUAUGUACAUUGACUAUUAUCUCGAAAACAUAUGCUGGCUCAAUGUUGAAGUGGUAUGAAGUUGAUGUUUGGUGCAAUAACGAUCAUGUUUAGCUUAUUAGUAAAGAAACAAUUAAAUAAAAUUAACAGAAGAACAAAAGAAAAAGAAACGACGGUGAAAAAAAAUAAAUGCAUUAUGUAGUAGUAACAACAUAAAAUUCAAACUUGAGAAAAUACUUUUGUCAAAUAAAAAAGGUAUGGUUGAAAAUCCCAAAAAAAUAAUCCAAAACUAAAACAAAAAAAGCUAAUCAUAAUACAAUUUGAGGUCAAUUAUUAUCUUAAGUAGGAUUUGUUUUGAAGAAAUCAGUAUUAAAAGAAGCACAAUAUUAUGUUGGUCUUUCACGAUUGAAAAAUAAAAGGGGAUGAAGAUUUUAGUAUAAUCGAUGAUAGACAAAUUGUCACCACCCAAAACUCAACCUGUCGUCAUGGCGCCUAUCAUGGUACUAGACAAGCCGACUACUCAGACAAUUCCAACACUUUCAAGUUUAAGAUAUGCUAAAACAGGUUUAAAUAAAUAAAAAUAUCAUAAAACUGAUAAAAUCGUCGCAACUCAAUACAGAAGUUUUCAAAAUCACGGUGUCACUGAGUACAUGAGUAUCUAUACAAUACAAGCCUCAAAUAAUGUCUAAGAAACUGAAACAAAAUAAAUAUGACUAAGGGAUAGGGGAGGAGAGUCAAGGUCUGCGGACGCCAGGGCAGCUACCUCGAAUAUCUCCGAAUAACAGUAAACUCUGAGAAUCAGCAACCACCGUGUCUGGAUACACUGGAUCUGCACACGAAGUGCAGGGUGUAGCGUGAGUACAACCAACUCAGUAAGUAAUAAGUCUAACUAUUGGACUGAAAGUAGUGACGAGCUUCACAUGUACAGUUCAAUUACAUGAUUACAGUACAAAAAUGUAGGCAUGCUUUCAAGUUUAAUAGUUAAAUCCCAAACAUGUAAAUCAUGUCAAGUUCAAUUGAAACAAGAUAUGGUACAUCUCGGUAUCUACAUGACAAUUAUAUAUGCCAACUGAAGUAUUAAAACAGUAAUGAAAUCAUAUGCAUACUCUCAGAGUAUCAGUCACUCAGUCCUCCCAUUCACUCCAUCCUCACAGUCACUUAUUCCUCACAGUCACUCCACCCUCACAACCACUCAAUCCUCCCAAUCACUCGGCACUCGCACUCAGUGGGUACAUGCACUCACUAUGGAUGUGCAGACUCCGGAGGGGCAAUUCCAUUCCAAGCGCUAUAAUAAGCCAAGCAUGGCAUGAAUCAAAUAAACAUGCUGAGGCGUGCAACCCNNNNNNNNNNNNNNNNNNNNNNNNNAAUCCCAUAAAUAUCCUCACAAUCAGGCCCUCGACCUCACUCAGUCAUCCAUCUCUCCAGUCUCUCAGGCUCAAAAGAAUCAUGAUAAUCAGCCCAAACAAUGAUGAUAUAAUGUAUCACUAAAGGACAACAGAGAUUGAGAUAUAAUAUGCAAAUAAUAGUUGUGACUGGGUACAAAAUGGCAAAUUAAACAAAUAAUUCAACAUGUAACACAACUUUUGUGGGUUCCAACAGUACCAACACAUAGCCUAAGCAUGAUUUCUAACAUGAUUGGCAGCUCAACUUCUCUAACACAUGGUGAAAAUACGGGUAACAACAAGAUUAUUCAGCUAUACAAUUCCAUGGAAUUGACCAAGUCAUAACUCCUACGGUGCAUGCCCACACGCUCGUCACUUAUCAUGCGCGUCACCUCAACACCAAUCACAUAACACGUAAUUCGGGGUUUCAUACCCUCAAAACCAAGUUUAGAAGUAUUACUUAUAUCAAAUCGUGCAAAUCCCUACUCCAAUAAGCCCUUGUCUCGCGAAUCAGCCUCCAAAUGCCUCGAAUCUAGCCACAAACAAUUCAAUACAAUCAACACGAGCUAAAAGAAUUAAUUCCAUAAGAAAAUACUAAAUUCUUAACCAAAAGUCAAAAAGUCAACUCAAAAGUCGACCCCCGUGCCCACGUCUCGGAAUCCAAUAAAAGUCACAAAAUCCGAAAACCCAUUCAACCACGAGUCUAACUAUACCAAAUUUACCAAAUUUCGAUACCAAAUCACCACUCAAAUCCCCAAAUUAAACUCUCCAAAUUCCUAGCCUCAAACUCCCAAUUUCCACCUCAAAAAUACACAAACUAGGUGAGAGAUUCAAUGGGGAAACAAUAUUAUUGAAUAAAAGUGAUCACAAGUGACUUACCUCAAGAAACCCCUCAAAAUCGCUCUCACAAAUCGCCUUAGUCCGAGCUUGAAAUGUCCAAAAAUGAUAAAACCACGAACCCUCGAACUAAUAUAAUCUGCCUAGUGCUUUCGCUUAUGUGGAUCACUUGACCGCAUCUGUUGUCCCUCUUUUGUGGAUUUUCCAUCGCUUAUGAGAUCCAGGACCUCCAACCCACUUCUGCAUCUGCGAUCUCUCAUGCGCAGAUGCGCAUCCGCAUCUGUGGAUAUACUUCCGCACCUGCGCUCCCAGGCUUCCUUUCCCAAUCUCACACCUGCGACACCUUUUCGUAUCUGCAACCUCGCAGGUGUGGACAACCCUUCACACCUGCGAUCACUGCCCAGCUUCGCCCAAACCAAACCUGCGGCCAUUCCCUCGCUUCUGCGGUCACGCUCAUGCGACCAAAACCCUGUUGUGAUGACACCAGACACCAGCAGCCCAGAUUUCCUCUCAAGUCCAAAUUUCAACCCGAUUCCCAUCUGAAUCAUUCCCGAGGCCCCCGGGACCUCAACCAAAUAUACCAACAAGUCCUAAAACCCGAGAUAUACCACUACUAGAAACCACGCCGCUGUAGAACAAUCCUCAAAUAUUAGGCAUGUUCUUUCUGGCUACGUGAGUACACCAGGAUAUCAUCAAUGAAUACUAUGACAAACGAGUUGAGAUAUGGCUGAAAUAUACUGUGCAUCAAAUGCAUGAAUGUUGUCGGGGCGUUGGUCAGCCCAAAAGACAUCACAAGGAAAUAGUAACCAUAACGGGUCCUGAAUGUUGUCAUCCGAGUCCCAAAUCUUCAACUGGUGAUACCCAAACCUCAAAUCAAUUUUAGAGAACACUUUCGCUCCUUGAAGCUGGUCAAAUAGAUCAUCAAUGCGUGGCAAAGGAUACUUGUUCUUGAUUGUAACUUUGUUCAAUUGCCUAUAGUCAAUGCACAUCCGUAUAGUACAGUCCUUCUUCUUCACAAACAGAACCGGUGCACCCCAAGGCGACACACUAGGCCUAAUAAACCCCUAAUCAAGAAGUUCCUGAAGCUUCUCUUUCAAUUCCUUCAACUCAGUUGGUGCCAUACGAUACGGAGGAAUAGAAAUAGGCUGAGUGCCCGACACUAAAUAAAGACCAAUGUCAAUAUCCCUGUCGGGCGGCAUGCCCGGCAGGUCUGUAGGAAACACAUCCAGAAAGUCUCGCACCACCGGAACAGAAUCAAUAGUAGGAGUAUCAGCACCAACAUCCCUCACGAAGGCCAAAUAAGACAGACACCCCUUCCCAACCAUCCGUUGGGCCUUCAAAUAAGUAAUCACCAUGCUGGGAACAUAAUCUAGAGAACCUCUCCACUCGAUCCUUGGCAACCCCAGCAUCGCCAAUGUCACGUUCUUAGCGUGACAAUCCAGAAUAACAUGAAAUGGAGACAACCAAUCCAUACUCAAGAUCACGUCGAAAUUGACCAUACUAAGCAAUAAGAGAUCGGCUUUGGUCUCCAAUCCCCCAAUAGUCACCACACACAACCGGUAUACACUGUUCACAACAAUAGUAUCGCCCACCGGCAGAGAUACAUGAACAGAUGAAACUAAGGACUCACGGGGCAUAUCCAGAUAACGAGCAAAAUAUGAUGAUACAUACGAAUAACUAGAACCAGGGUCAAAUAAUACAAAAGCAUCCUUGUGGCAUACUGAGACAAUACUUGUGAUCACUGUGUAUAAAGCAACAACAUCUGGUCUGGCAGGAAUAUCAUAGAAUCAGUCCUGACCACCACCUGAUCGGCCUCUCCUCUAGGGCAACCUCUAGCUGCCUGGGCCCCACCCCGAACUGGCUAGGUGGGUGGUGAAGUAAUUGUUGCUGAAGUCGUGGCCUGACUCCUUUGUUGCAUUGGACCUCCCGGGCAGCGAGGACACUGUCUCCACAUAUGCCCAAACUCCCCGCACUCAAAGCAACUUCCCGAUAGUGGUGGUGAGGACUAAAUCGGGCUCCGAGUACCAGAGUAACUGCUAGAAGGACCUGCUACAGAUGAACCCUAAACCGAUGGAGCACGAGACAAAUUUUGAGCUGGGAAAGCACUGAGAGAUGAUUGGCCCGGAUAGGCACUGUAUGAACCAUGGCUAGAUGAUGUACCACGAUGAACUGGGCAAGCCAUCUGAGUGGUCUUAUAAGGACGAACCAUGUUGUGGUGGAACUGGCCCCUAGAAGGAACACCGCUUAAACCACCUGAACCACGAGGCUUAUUGGCCUCCCUCUCCUCACGCUCCUGACUACGGACCAUCUCUAGCCACCGAGCGAUAUCAACCACCUCAUUGAACCGAGCACCAAAUACACUCUCCCGAGUCAUAACAAAACACAACUGAUAGUGGAGGCCAUCAAUGAACCUCCUAAUCCUCUCCCUCUCAGUGGGAACCAACCAAACUGCAUGACGAGCCAACUCUGAAAAUCUUAUCACAUACUGGGUCACAGACAGGCGAUCCUGAUGUAGCUGCUCGAACUGCCUGCGCAGCUCCUCCAUACGGAUCUAUGGCAUAAACUUUUCCAAGAAGAGGACGGAGAACUCAUGCCAUGAAAGUGGUGCAGCACCGACUGACAUGCUUCUCUCAUAGGCCUCCCACCAUCUGAAGGUAGCCCCAGUACACUGAAAAGUAGUGAAUGAGACCCCACUAGUCUCCAUAAUACCCGUUGUAUGAAGAAUCUGCUGGCACCUAUCCAAGAAGUCCGGGGCAUCCUCUGACUCAACCCUACCAAAUGAUGGAGGUUGGAGUCUCCCAAAUCUCUCAAGUCUCUUUUGCUUAUCAUCACUCAUAACAUGACGCGCUUGGGCCUGAGCAACUGCAACCCGUUGGGCUGGUAGUACCCCCGGUGUCUGAAGUCCCUGCAUCACCUGCUCUGGAGUACGGGCGGUGAGAGUCUGAGUACCUACCUGGCAUAAGAGGUGGCUGGCGCGGUCAGAACAGAAACCACCUGAGCGAGGCUAGUGCACACAGUCAAUAUGUAAGCCAAAGCCUCUUGAAGGCCUAGAAUCACAAUGGGAAUAGUUGGUGCUUGAGCUGGCCCCACUAGCUCAACCACAUCAGGAACCUGCUCCUAAGUUGGAGCGAUUGGUGGAUCUGCAGGUGCUGCUCUAGCUGAUGUACGACUGCACCUUUUCCCUUACCACGGCCCCUACCGCGACCCCGGCGUCUCGUGACCCUAACAGGUGGUACUAGUGGUUGUCCGUCCGCUCCGGUAGCACAUGUCCUCACCAUCCGUGAGAGAAUAGAAUAACAGAAGUUUAGUUCCCAUAAUCAACAAAUUCGCACAACAGAAAAUACAAGAAUGUGAAGUUUCCUAAGGGUUCAACAGCCUCUCAAAGAUAAGUACAAACGUCUCCAUAUCGAUCUGCAAGACUCUACUUAACCUGCUCAUGACUCGUGAGACCUAUGUAACCUAGGCUCUGAUACCAACUUGUCACGACCCAAAACUCAACCUGUCGUGAUGGCGUAUAUCAUGGUACUAGGCAAGCCGACUACUUAGACAAUUCCAACACUUUCAAGUUUAAGAUAUGCUAAAACAGGUUUAAAUAAAUAAAAAUCUCAUAAAACCAAUAAAAUUGUCGCAACUCAAUACACAAGUUUCCAAAACCACGGUGUCACUGAGUACAUGAGCAUCUAUUCAAUACAAGUCUGAAAUACUAUCUAAGAAAACAAAAACUAAAUAAAUAAUACUGAGGGAUAGGGGAAGAGAGUCAAGGUCUGCAGACGCCAGGGCAGCUACCUCGAAUAUCUCCAAACAAUAGUAAAUUCUGAGAAUCAGCAACCACCGUGUCCGGAUACACCUGGAUUUGCACACAAAGUACAGGGUGUAGCGUGAGUACAACCAACUCAGUAAGUAACAAGUCUAACUAUUAGACUGAAAGUAGUGACGAGCUUCACAUGUACAGCUCAAUUACGGGAUUACAGUACAGAAAUGUAGGCAUGCUUUCAAGUUUAACAGUUAAAGCCCAAAUAGGUAAAUCAUGUCAAGUUUAAUUGAAACAAGUUAUGCUACAUCUCGAUAUCUACAUGACAAUUAUAUAUGCCAACUGAAGUAUUAAAACAGUAAUGAAAUCAUAUGCAUACUCUCAGAGUAUCAGUCACUCAGUCUUCCCAUUCACUCCAUCCUUACAGUCACUCAUUCCUUACAGUCACUCAUCCUCACAAACACUCAAUCCUCCCAAUCGCUCGGCACUCACACUCAGUAGGUACAUGCGCUCACUCUGGAUGUGCAGACUCUGGAGGGGCAAUUCUAGCCCAAGCGCUAUAAUAAGCCAAGCAUGGUAUGAAUCAAAUAAACAUGCUAAGACGUGCAAUAUCCUCAUAAUUAGGCCCUCGGCCUCACUCAGUAAUCCAUCUCUCCAGUCUCUCGGGCUCAAAAGAAUCAUGAUAAUCAACCCAAACAAUGAUGAUAUAAUGCAUCACUAAAGGACAACAGAGAUUGAGAUAUAAUAUGCAAAUAAUAGUUGUGACUGAGUAAAAAAUGGCAAAUUAAAAAAUUAAUUCAACAUGUAACACGGCCUCUGUAGGUCCUAACAGUACUAACACGUAGUCUAAGCAUGAUUUCUAACAUGAUUGGUAGCUCAACUUCUCUAACACAUGGUGAAAAUACGGGUAACGACAAGAUUAUUCAACUAUACAGUUUCAUGAAAUUGACCAAGUCACAAUUCCUACGGUGCACGCCCAUAUUCCCAUCACCUAGCAUGUGCGUCACCUCAACACCAAUCACAUAACACGUAAUUCGGGGUUUUAUACCAUCAGAACCAAGUUUAGAAGUGUUACUUACCUCAAACCGUGCAAAUCCAUACUCCAAUAAGCCCUUGCCUAGCGAAUCAGCCUCCGAAUUCCUCGAAUCUAACCACAAACAAUUCGAUACAAUCAACACGAGCUAAAGGAAUCAAUUCCAUAAGAAAAUACUAAAUUCUUAAUCAAAAGUCAACUCAAAAGUUGACCCUCAGGCCCACGUCUCGGAAUCUAAUAACAUUCACAAAAUCCAAAAGCUCAUUCAACCAUGAGUCUAAUUAUACCAAAUUUACCAAAUUCCAAUACCAAAUCACCACUCAAAUCCCCAAAUUAAGCUCUCCAAAUCUCUAGCCUCAAACUCCCAAUUUCCAUCUAAAAAAUGACCAAACUAGGUGGGAAAUUAAAUGGGAAAAUAAUAUUAUUGAAUAAAAGUGAUCGCGAAUGACUUAACUUAAGAAACCCCUUGAAAUCCCUCUCAAAUAUUGCCUUAGUUCGAGCUUGAAAUGUCCAAAAAUGAUAAAAUCAUGAACCCUUGAAUUAAUAUAAUAUGCCUAGUGCUUUCGCUUCUGCAGAUCACUUGACCACACAUGCGGUCCCGCUUCUGCGGGUUUUCCAUCGCUUCUGCGAUCCAGGACCUCCAAACCACUUCCGCAUUUGCGGUCUCUCAUGCGCAGACGCGCAUCCGCAUCUGCGGAUAUACUUCCGCACCAGCGCCCCUAGGCUUCCUUUCCCAAUCUCGCACUUGCGACACCUUUCAGCAUCUCCGACCUCGCAGGCGCGGACAACCCUUCACAUCUGCGAUCACUACCCAGCUUCACCCAAACCGCACCUGCGACUAUUCCCUCGCUUCUGUGGUCACGCACAUGCGACCAAAACCCCGUAGGUGCAAUGACACCAGACACCAGCAUCCCAGAUUUCCUCUCAAGUCUAAAUUUCAACCUCAUUCCCAUCUGAAUCAUUCCCGAGGCCCCCGAGACCUCAACCAAAUAUACCGACAAGUCCUAAAACCCUAUACGAACUUAUUCUAGCCCUCAAAUCACAUCAAACAAUAUCAAAAAUACGAAUCGCACCCCAAUUCAAGCCUAAUGAAAACAAAGGAAUUCCAACUUCUACCAUCAAUGUCGAAACCUAUCAAAUCACGUUCGAUUGACCUCAAAUUUUGCAUACAAGUCAUAAAUGACAUAACAUACCUACUCCAACUCCCGGAACCAACAUCCGAUCCCGGUAACCACAAAGUCAACUCUCGGUCAAACUUCUCAAUUUCCAAAACUUCUAAUUUUCCAGCUUUUGCCAUUUCAAGCCUAAAUCAACGACGGACCACCAAAUCACUAUCCGGACAUACUCCUAAAUCCAAAAUCAUCCAACAGAGCUAUCAGGGCCAUCAAAACCCCAUUUCGUGGCCAUUUACACAUAAGUCAACAUCCGAUCAACCUUUUCAACUUAAGCUUCUAACCUUGAGACUAAGUAUCUUAACUCAAUCUGAACCAUCCCUAAACCGAACCAACUACCAUGGCAAGUCACAUAACAACUAAUAAGCGUAAAAUGAGUAGUAAAUGGGGGAACGGGGCUACAACAUUCAAAAAGACCAGUCGAGUCAUUACACAAAUAAUGAAUGAACCUAUAAAUGUAGUGUAUAAAUAAAUUUUGCAAAUUCGUUUGAGGAAUCACUGAAUCUAUUUUUUAUCAUAUUAUUAUGUAUUUUUAAUUGAUCAAUUCAUAUUAUUUGUAUCACAAAUUUCAUAUUUUUAUUUUGUGUUUUCAUAUCAUUAAAAUGCUAUAGGGGUAAAGCUAAUAUGUUUUUGUUAACUUUAAGUAUUAAAAUUUUGAUAUGAGAAACUGGAUCAAUUAAACACAAUGCAAGCAGAUAAAUACUUGAGCUUUAAAACUCAAUAGUGAUUUUACAUAUUACUUACUUUGAAUACAUUUCUUUUAAUAUCGAUCGCGCAUCGCGCGGGUACUAAUACUAGUUGAAGAAUGAAAAUUACAUUGGGUAUAAAGUAAAAGAGAGUUUGUGAGAUGAAGAAGAUGAUAGAAACAAGAAGAUGGUAAUAGGUUAAAAACAACGGCCGGGUAUUUAAAAUUGGGGGUGGGUCAUUCGUUCCUGAGCUGCCAUGUGACGCUCCAUCUAAAUUAAGGGUAAAUAUGUUUCAUAGUAUAACGGUAGGGUGUUAAAUGGACUGAUAGUGAAACGGAGGAUAUAUUUAAACAAUAUUUGAUAGUACAUGUCACGACCCCAAUUUUUCUCCGUAGGAUGUCGUGAUGGCACCUAGUCUCUAAGACUAGGUAAGCCUAACAAUUUGCGGAAUAACUGAAUAAUAAACUAAACUCAAAAUGCAACACAUGAUAUAUAAAUAGAAACUGCGAUUUAAAUAAUUACAACUCCCAAAACCCGGUAGAAAUAAGUCACAAGCUUCUAAGAGAAAAUACUAAGUGUCUCUAUACAUCAAAGUCUAAAGAGAAUAAGGGAAACAACAAAAUAAGGAUAGAGGGGGGCUCCGAGGUCUGCAGACGCUGACAGAUAUACCUGAAAGUCUCCACGUAUGGUCCAGCUCACUGGUAUCUGGUCUGGAAGGAAGAACCUGGAUCUGCACAACAGGAUGUGCAAAAGUAUAGUAUGAGUACACCACAAUGGUACCCAAUAAGUGCCAAGGCUAACCUCGGUAGAGUAGUGAUAAGGUCAGGACAGGGCCCUAUUGGAAUAAAAGGAAAUGAGGCAGAAAAUAUAAUAAUACAAUGAAAUGACUGAGAAAUGAACAACAAGAAAUUACAUAAAGGUAACAGUACAACAAAUAGAGUUAAACAACAAGGGCACUCCUGAGGUAUCGCCUCGUAAUCCCAAAUAUAAAUGCGCAACAGGGGGAUCUCCUGAGGUACCGCCUCGUAGUCCUAAAAGUAAAUAUGUAACAUGGGGAUCUCCCGAGGUACCGCCUCGUAGUCCCAAAAGUAAAUAUGCACAAAAGGAGGAUCUCCCGAGUUACCGCCUCGUAGUCCUAAAAGUAAAUAUGCAACUCAUAAAUUAUGGAAUAACGAAUUUACGGAAAAGAAUCCUACAAUUAAAGACUGAAUAUAAUAAUCAAGGAAACAUGAAAUUCAGCUAAGCAUGUUGCACGAAUUUCAAGUAAAGGUUAAGACACGUAGACAUGCGAUACUAGGCUAACAUAACAGCUACACAUGCUAAAGCAACUCAGUUAAGGAAUUUAAAAGAAAUCUACUCAACAAGAACCAGAUUUUUCACAAUUAGCCCGUGUACGCACUCGUCACCUCGCAUACACGGCGCUCACAUAUCACAAAUUGUUACACCAAUACAAAAUUCUAAGGGGAUUUCCCCCCACAUAAGGUUAGACAAGUCACUUACCUCGAAUCUCACUCAACUAGUCGAUAAGAAUGCCUUUUCCUCGACUUUUCGACCCUGAAUGUCCCAAAUCUAGCCAAAAGCAAUUACAUACUAUAAAUACAACUACAAGAAACUAAUUUAAAUAAUGAAACUACGACUUUAGUAAAGAAUCAAAAAUUAACCCAAAAAGUCGACCCGAGCCCACGUCUCGGAAUCGAGUAAAAGUCACAAAAUACGAAUACCCAUUCGAUAUCAAGUUCACCCAUACCAAAAUUACCAAAAUCCUACACCAAGUUGCCACUCAAAUCUCCAAGUUAAACUCUCCAAAAUUCCACCUUAAAUACACACAAACUAGGUGGGAACAUCAAUGGGGAAACAAAAUUAUUGAUUAAAAAAAUGAGUACAAGAGACUUACCUCAAUAAAUCCCUCGAAAAUGCUUUCAAAAAUCUCCAAGACCCGAGCUCAAAAUGUUUAAAAUGAAGAAAAAUCGCGAAACCUUGUAUUUAAGUGUUCUGUCCCGCACCUUCGCUUCUGCGAAAAGUUAGCCGCAUCUGCGGCGUCAUAGAAGUGACAACAUACCCGCUUCCGUGGCUUCCCUCGCUCCUGCGAUCUCUUCAUCCACUCCUGCGGACUCGCUUCUGCGGGCCUCCCAACUGCUUCUACGGUCCUAACUUCCUUGCAAAAAUUUUCUUCUGCGGUUCAAAGACCGCUUCUGCGGGUGCGCAUCUGCGCAAACUCGUCAGUUUCUGCGGACGCGCCUCCCAAUCACUCGUCCGCUUCUGCAAUCACUCUUCCACAGAAGCGACUCCGCUUCUGCGGCCUUCACACCGUACCUGCGACCACAGGACAUUUCCUCCAGCUCCGCAUCUGCGCCUAAAUGCUCGCUUCUACGAGCUCGCACCUACGGUCAAUCUUGUGCAGGUGCGAUUACAACAGAACUGGUGCACUUCAGCCAUUCUCACAAGUCCAAAUUGAUCUGUUAACCAUCUGAAAAUCACCUGAGGCCCCCGGGAUCUCAACCAAAUACACCGACAAGUCCUAAUACAUCAUACGAACUUAGUCGAGUCUCUAAAUCACCUCAAACAACGCUAAAAAUAUGAACGACACAUCGAUUCAUGCCUAAUGAACUUUAAAACUUCAAACUUCUACAUCCGAUGCUGGAAACUAUCAAAUCAAGUCCGAUUGACCUCAAAUUUUGCACACAAGUCAUAAUUUAUAUUACGGACCUACUCCAACUUUCGGAAUCGAAAUCCUACCCUUAUAUCAAAAAGUCCACUCUCGGUCCAACUUUUUAACUUUCGCCAUUUGACGCUAAAAUGACCUACGGACCUCAAAUUCAACAUCCGAACACGCUCCUAUGACCAAAAUCACCUUACGAAGCUAUUGGAACCGUCAAAACCCCAUUCCGUAGUCGUAUUCACACAAUUCAAACUACGAUCAAUAUUUAGAUGUUAAACUUCCAAUUCAGUGACUAUGUGUCUCAUUUCACUCCGAAACCAAAAACUAAUCCUCCCGGCAGUUACGUAACCACAAAAUAAAAUAAAGGGAGCAAUAAUUAGGGGUUCGGGGCUAAUACUCUCAAAAUGACCGGUCGGGUCGUUACAUCCUCCCCCUCUUAAAACAAACGUUCGUCCUCGAACGAGCAUAGAGACAUACCUGUAGUGGUGAAAAGAUGAGUAUAAUGGUUGCGCAUAUCAUGCUCGGUCUACCAAGUCGCCUCCUCGACCGGAUGUCCCCUCCACUGAACCUUCAUAGAAGCAAUGUUCUUUGACCUCAACUUUCAAACAUGCCUAUCCAAAAUGGCCACCGGCUCCUCAACAUAAGGUAGAUCCUUGUCCAACUGGACUGAGCUGAAGUCUAACACAUGAAAUGGAUCACCAUGAUACUUCGGGAGCAUGGAAACAUGGAAUACUGGAUGAACUGUAGAGAUACUAGGUGGUAGUGCAAGUAUGUAAGCCACCCCUCUAACCCUCUGAAGAAUCUCAAAAGGCUCGAUAUACCUAGGGCUCAACUUGCCAUUCUUUCCAAACCUCAUAACACCCUUCAUGGGUGAAACCCGGAGCAAGACCCGCUCUCCAACCAUGGAUGCAAUGUCGCGAACCUUCCGAUCCGCAUAAAUCUUCUGCAUGGACUGGAUCCUGAAUCAAUUUAACAUUUUCCAAAGCAUCCUGAACCAAGUCUGUACCCAGUAGCCUAGCCUCGCCCGACUCGAACCAACCCACUGGAGACCGACACCGUCUACCAUAAAAAGCCUUAUACAGGGCCAUCUGAAUGCUCUCUUGAUAACUGCUGUUGUAGUCAAACUCCGCCAGUGGCAAGAACUGAUCCCAAGCACCCCAAAAACCCAUCACACACGCAUAAAGCAUAUCCUUAAAUAUCUGAAUAGUGCGCUCGGACUAUCCGUCCGUCUGGGGGUGAAAUGUUGUACUAUACUCCACCCGAGUACCCAACUCACAUUGUACAGCUCUCCAGAACCGCGAUGUAAACUGCGUACCCUGGUCAGAGAUGAUAGAUACUGGUAUAUCAUGAAGCCUGACAAUAUCGCGAAUGUAAACCUGAGCCAGCUGCUCCAAAGAGUGAGUAGUAACCACGGGAAUGAAAUGAGUUGACUUGGUCAAUCUAUCCACAAUCACCCAAACUGCAUCAAACUUCCUCUGAGCCCGUGGGAGCCCAACAACGAAAUCCAUAGCGAUCCGCUCCCAUUUCCACUCCGGAAUCUCUAGCUUCUGAAGCAAUCCACCCAGUCGUUGAUGCUCAUACCUCACCUGCUAAUAAUUUAAGCAACGAGCUACAUAUUCCACUAUGUCCUUCUUCAUCCGCCUCCACUAAUAGUGCUACCUCAAAUCCUAAUACAUUUUCACGACACCUGGAUGAAUGGAGUAUCGCAAACUGUGAGCCUCCUAGAGAAUCAACUCACACAAACCAUCUACAUUACUCACACAUAGCCUGCCCUGCAUCUGUAAUACACCGCCAUCCCCAAUAGUGACUUCCUUGGCAUCGCCAUGCUGAAUAGUGUCCUUAAGGACAAGCAGAUGGGGGUCAUCAUAUUGACGCUCUCUGAUACGAUCAUAAAGAGAUGGCUGAGAAACCACACAAGCCAAAACUUGGCUCGGAUCGACUCGGAAACNNNNNNNNNNNNNNNNNNNNNNNNNACUAAAGGCAUCGGCCACCACAUUGGCCUUCCCAGAAUGAUAGAGGAUGGUGAUGUCAUAAUCCUUAAGCAGCUCCAACCAUCUCCGUUUUUAGAUCCUUCUAUUUAAACAGAUGUUGUAGACUCUGGUGAUCGGUGAAAACCUCACAAGGGACACCAUACAAAUAGUGCCGCCACAUCUUCAAGGCAUGAACAAUAGCUGCUAACUCGAGGUCGUGGACAGGAUAGUUCUUCUAAUGCACAUUCAACUGUCUAGACGUGUAGGCAAUCACCCUACGGUCAUGCAUCAACACCGCGCCGAGACCAAUGCACGAUGCAUCACAAUACACCGUAUAGGACCCCGAACCAGUAGUCAACACCAACACUGGGGCUAUAGUCAAAGCAGUCUUAAGCUUUUGAAAGCUCUCCUCAUAAUCCUUGGUCUACCUGAACGGAGCACCCUUCUGGGUGAACCUGGUCAUAG